rnacentral:piRNA from 1 species
UGGGAGCGACGGCUACUUUUGAUCCUGCUU